AGAGCUUGUCCCUAAAGAAAAGGUGUCUAGCUGAUAAUUAGAUUUACUGAGGGUUAAAUUCCCUUCAAGCUCUA
rnacentral:tRNA from 1 species